AUGGGCGACGCACGCUGGAGGGUUCGUUUCGUGGCGGACCUCGUGACGGCGCGACACGUCACGUUCAACGACGGCGAACUAUGGCUGCGCAGGGAGGCUCUCCGGAUCGUGCUGCUCGACACAAAGGGGCACACGGUGGAUGCGCGCUUUCUUCGAUCCGGUGAGUGGAUCGACAUCGGGGAUAUUGUCGCUUUUCCUUGCCAUUUCGCUAGGGUUUGUGAUAGAUCUCCGGCGAACGGCGGAUUUUCCGGCGAGGAUGCGCCGCCGCGUGGCCCUACUCACAGACACACGGUACACGGGGGCGGUCGUGCGGAUCUGGACGCGCACCGCCGAGUUCCACAUCUGACAGAUGGACCCGGGGUCCUUGGGCGUGGACCGGUCCGCCAUGAGACGGAUGCGCGACACGUAGAUGAGGGGGAUCGGACCGCCAUGAGUGCGAUGGAGCUAGGGUUUCUGGGGGCACCGCGGGUAUAA
rnacentral:rRNA from 1 species